ACACCAGAUGUCAAAACUGUAACUAUAGUUAUUUUAAUUUCUUAAUCAUUAAAUUUAUCCAAGAUAAGUUUUAAAUUGUUUGUACAUUUGUCAUUACAUAUAGUGGAAAAUUGAGGAUUAGAUGAAAAUAAGGUGGAAAUGUGUUUAAUUGAUGUUUGAUGGUCUGCGAGUAGAUGAACAUGUCGAUCAGCUCAAAAUAAAAAAUAAAUGGUUCCUAGUACAAAUAGUAAAUCUUCGGUCAGGCUGAAAAUGACCUACUAUCUAAUAGUGAUAACAAUAACACUGAUAGUAAAUAAAGAACAACGACAAUCCCUGCAGUAAAUUCUGAUUUGAUCACGUUUUAACUUAUUCUCCAGGCCUGUAAAUAUUGAACCAUGGAGGGGAAAAGUGGUAAUCCGAUGUCAGCGUUUUCGUUCAUAUUCCAGCUUUUUUUAAUUUUCAAAGUGGUCUCAUGUGUCAGAAUAACAUUUUUGCGGUUUAACAAGCCUUACACUUCGACGGGAUCUUAAUUUGUGCUGAUUAAGAGUCUGAAUAUCAGAAGCAAACUCAAACUCAGAAUGCUGAAAGUUUGUUGACUAGACUUCUUUUCGUAUUCGUAAAUCGAUUAAAUUGUACUGGUGUGCACCCCGCAAAAAAUGGCAUAUUAUGUUCAAACUGGUUUUUUUUCAACCUUUGGGGCUAUUUAUUCUUGACAGAAGAGGAAAGCCAAAUAUUUGAAGCCUAUCAUCACUUCUUUGCAAAUUAUAGAGAGGACAAGGUUGUUUUGGUUUCACGUAAAAAUUACACUUCCUUGCGAAUUGGAAAAAAAAAAUUAGUAAAGAAAAAACAUCAUUUAUACAUAACAAACGACAAAUUUA